AACCCAGUGUGACUCGUCACACUAUCAUUAACUGAAUCCAUAGGUUAAUGAGGCGAACCGGGGGAACUGAAACAUCUAAGUACCCCGAGGAAAAGAAAUCAACCGAGAUUCCCCCAGUAGCGGCGAGCGAACGGGGAGGAGCCCAGAGCCUGAAUCAGCAUGUGUGUUAGUGGAAGCGUCUGGAAAGGCGCGCGAUACAGGGUGACAGCCCCGUACACAAAAGCGCAUGUGCUGUGAGCUCGAUGAGUAGGGCGGGACACGUGGUAUCCUGUCUGAAUAUGGGGGGACCAUCCUCCAAGGCUAAAUACUCCUGACUGACCGAUAGUGAACCAGUACCGUGAGGGAAAGGCGAAAAGAACCCCGGCGAGGGGAGUGAAACAGAACCUGAAACCGUGUACGUAC
rnacentral:rRNA from 1 species